UCUUAUCCUCAGGAAUUACAUACUCUGGCCAUGGAGUCUAUGGAUUUUGCAAUAAUUGAGCUUUCACUUGGUCAUCAGACACAGUCUUGUUUAUAUAAGGUCCAAGGUCUAACAGUGGUGCAGCUUCUUGUCUUUGCUCUUCUUCCAUGGUUUCUUUAGCAGAGCUUGGAUUAGAUCAGUGGUUCUCUUUACCUGAACAUUUUCUGGGGUGGUUUGAACCCCUAAACCGCCCCCUUGGCUACAGCCUUGGUCUCAGAUCAGACACCAGCCCCGUUGUCCUUGCUCCACCCAGAUCCUGUACAAGCUGCUGAAGUACGAGAAAGUGAACGAACGAUGCAAAUACCGGCUGAAGCUGAAGGACAUUGGCUACCAAGGCCUGCUUUCUUCCCUGAACGACAUCCCCGUCUCCAUGCUCCUCUUCCGCUGCCUCCUGGAACAGGUCCUUGCAUCAGAUUCCCCAAACUACAAAGACUUGAUGGCUGUCGUUUACCUGUCUCACCGGGCCGAGCUGGCCGUCCGGCUAGACAUCUGCAGGAAGCUCUUCCACCUGAUUUACGCCCAGCACGACAUGGUCAAGCACUUGGCCAAACUGGCCGGGUGGCAAGACACCCUCACCAAGCUCUACGUGAAGGAGUCCUACGAGUCCCGCCAACACAGCUUGUCCGGCUCUGCCAACGGCAGCGGUUGCCUUGACCUCAUGAGGAUCGCAGACCACCCGGAGACAGCGAAGGAGUUGACUGACCCCGUGGCCCCUUCACCUGCGGAGCCACCCGACCUGGACGUCUUCCUCCCGCUGAGCUACGAGGCUUCGGACCCGGAGUUCUCGGAAGGGUUCUCGGACCACUCCAUCUCCCCGCAGAGGAGCAAACCCUUCCCGCCGUACGCCUUCAAGUCCUUCGACUCCUUCGACCUGGCCAGCCAUUCCUCCUCCUCCAACAACACGGACGGCCCCGGGCAGGGGGAGCCUCGUGGCGGGGAGGCGGUGCAGGCAGACCGCGUCUACCACCCGCUCUCCCCGUUCUCCAUGUGCCCCUUCGACCUGGGCUUGGACGUCGGCAGCACCAGCUCCGCGGCCACGGCCGAGAGCGGGAGCCAGACCCCCGUGAGCCUGCCGGGGACCCCCUCCCCCUUGGAGAGCUUCAAGCCCUUUCCCGGGACGCGAGCGCGGAAGAGCUCCAGCCUCUCUAACGUCUUGGACGACACCAGCUACCAGGAAGCGCUGCCCAGCGACAACAUCUCCAACACAAGCAACCCUCAGCAAACCCCCGAGGAGGAGCUUUGCAACCUGCUCACCAACAUCAUCUUUUCCGUCACGUGGCGUGGCGUGGAGGGCUGGGACGACGUGGCCUGGAAGGAGCGGGGACAGGUCUUCUCCGUCCUCACCAAGCUGGGAUCGGCCUGCGAACUGGUCCGCCCGCCGGAUGAGGUCAAGCGCAGCCUUCUGGAGAUGAUGAUGGAGUCGGCAUUGACGGACAUCAAAGAGGCCACGGCGGCCAUGCUGCCCAGCUUGACCCAGAACGCCCUGAAGCUGCUGCGCCUCCUCCAGGACUUCCUCUUCUCCGAGGGUCACAACAACCAGGCCUUGUGGAGUGAGAAGGUUAGCUGCUUGCUCGCUCAAUCUCUCUCAUUUCAAUAUGGACAGAUCACCAACACGUUUCGCUUGGUCUGGUAUGACACUUAAGUAGAGGAAAUAUAUAGGAUGAGUGACACUUCCUUGACAACCGUUCAUAUAAGAAGGGUUUGGAAGAGUAGCCACAAGCUGACCUCUGAUGCAGCGACGGCAAAAGCCAAUGCGAUUCUAGGCUGCAUGUUACGAGUCAGACGCUAGCCUUCUACGAUCUCUCCAAGCAGACCACCUUCUAUCAGAACCCAUAACUCCCCAGGACCCAUCUAUAUCUUCUCUGUGCCAUCCCUCAAAUGUACCACUGCUUGUGAGUUCUUAUAGAAUCUCCUGGAUCUCCUGAACCCUAGUCCAAUCCAUCUCCUCACUCCCAGACUCUGACAUCCCAUCCUCCUGGCUCCCAGCCCCACAAUCCCCUUCAAAACCCUCAAAGGUAUCAUCAUCAGUGGGUUCCAUAAGUAUUUCCCGGAUUCUCUUCCUUUCUCGUGAGCAAGACUCCUCAUCAGAGUCGGUCACAAGUCGUCUUCCUGCCUCUUCUAAUACAACUAGUAGUAUCUUUACUUGAAGACUCCAUCACAACACUGCAUCCAUAGGAAGAUAGUGUCAAGACCAUAGAAUCCUAGAGUUGGAAGAGACCAAGGGCCAUCUAGUCCAAUCUCUGUUUCAACCUCUGUUUCAAACCAGACUCCGAGGCAGAGAGUUCCACAGCUAUUCUUAUGGUCAGGAAGUUCUUCCUAAUGUUCAGUGGAAUCUCCGUUCCCCUAAUUUGAACCCAUGGCUCCAUUGAGUCCUAGUCUCCAG
rnacentral:lncRNA from 11 species